GCCAGUGUGGCAUAAUGGUUUCAGUGUCAGACUAUGACUCUGGAAACCAAGGCUCGAUUCCUGCUUGGCCA